rnacentral:rRNA from 1 species
UACAGAGGUCCCAAGCGUUGUUCGGAUUCACUGGGCGUAAAGGGUGCGUAGGCGGUCGGGUAAGUCUGAUGUGAAAUCUCACAGCUUAACUGUGAAACUGCAUUGGAUACUGUUCGGCUAGAGAGUUGGAGGGGGGACUGGAAUUCUUGGUGUAGCAGUGAAAUGCGUAGAUAUCGAGAGGAACACCAGUGGCGAAGGCGAGUCGCUGGACGACCCCUGACACUGAGGCACGAAAGCGAGGGGAGCAAACAGG